rnacentral:misc_RNA from 1 species
UCAUUUAGAGGAAGGAGAAGUCGUAACAAGGUUUCCGUAGGUGAACCUGCGGAAGGAUCAUUGUCGAAACCUGCAAAGCAGAAAGACCAGCGGACCCAUUACAACACCCAGGGGUGACCCCAACCCCUGACGCUGAGUGUGUGCAGCCCUGCCUUGCGCCCUCAGCAUAAAACGAACCCAGGCGCGGAACGCGUCAAGGAAUCAUAACGAAACGAGCUCCUGCCGUGGCCCCGGGGACGGUGAUCGCCGCAGCAGCUGUGUUGUGCUUGGUUAAGUCUAAAAUGACUCUCGGCAACGGAUAUCUCGGCUCUCGCAUCGAUGAAGAACGUAGCGAAAUGCGAUACUUGGUGUGAAUUGCAGAAUCCCGUGAACCAUCGAGUCUUUGAACGCAAGUUGCGCCUGAAGCCAUCAGGCUGAGGGCACGUCUGCCUGGGCGUCAAACACCGAUGCCCCCCCAAAUCCCCUCGUCACUCUCCCCUGAGUGCCCGGGGAGUGUGGGGGUCGGAUGAUGGCCUCCCGUGUCUUGGCUCGCGGUUGGCCCAAAGUCGAGUCCUCGGUCACGGUUACCGUGGUGACAGGUGGUUGUCGGUCGCUCGGUACCCCGUCACGUGCGCCGGACACGAAUCGAGACUCUCUUGAUUACCCCAACGCAUCCCCGUUUGGGUGCCUCUGAUGUGACCCCAGGUCAGGCGGGGCUACCCGCUGAGUUUAAGCAUAUC